UACGUAGGGGGCGAGCGUUGUCCGGAUUUAUUGGGCGUAAAGAGCUCGUAGGCGGUUUGGUAAGUUGGAUGUGAAAUCUCCAGGCUCAACUUGGAGGGGUCAUUCGAUACUGCCAUGACUAGAGUUCGGUAGGGGAGUGUGGAAUUCCUGGUGGAGCGGUGAAAUGCGCAGAUAUCAGGAGGAACACCCGUAGCGAAGGCGGCACUCUGGGCCGGAACUGACGCUCAGGCACGAAAGCGUGGGGAGCAAACAGG
rnacentral:rRNA from 1 species